rnacentral:tRNA from 1 species
GGCGAGGUGUCCGAGUGGUUUAAGGAUCCAGUCUUGAAAACUGGCGCCCCAUUUCUGGGGCCGUGGGUUCGAAUCCCACUCUCGCCG